GGUAUGGUGGCCGAGAUUUAGGCGGCGAGUUGUAGCCUCGCGCACCGGGUUAGUCCCGCAAUACCAGGCC
rnacentral:tRNA from 1 species